rnacentral:rRNA from 1 species
CCUACGGGAGGCAGCAGUAGGGAAUCUUCCACAAUGGGCGAAAGCCUGAUGGAGCAACGCCGCGUGGGUGAAGAAGGUCUUCGGAUCGUAAAACCCUGUUGUUAGAGAAGAAAGUGCGUGAGAGUAACUGUUCACGUCUCGACGGUAUCUAACCCGAAAGCCACGGCUAACUACGUGCCAGCAGCCGCGGUAAUACGUAGGUGGCAAGCGUUAUCCGGUUUUAUUGGGCGUAAAGGUAACGCAGGUGGUGUUUUAAGUCUGAUGUGAAGGCCUUCGGCUUAACCGAAGUGGUGCAUUGGAAACUGGGAGACGUGAGUGCAGAAGAGGAGAGUGGAAUUCCAUGUGUAGCGGUGAAAUGCGUAGAUAUAUGGAAGAACACCAGUGGCGAAAGCGGCUUUCUGGUCUGUAACUGACGCUGAGGUUCGAAAGCGUGGGGAGCAAACAGGAUUAGAUACCCUUGUAGUC